CUAUAUAUGGAUAUCCAAGAACUAUUCGGUGUAUAACUGAUGUGAGAUUGAACAAACUGAUCCACACGGAUCCUUAACAUCUACUCAUCACGUUGAGAUGGUAAGAGCCAAUAGUGGUGGUGGUGGUUUCGUCCGGCCGGGGUCAUGCAGGCUGCCGAUGGAAAGAGAAGGACACAGGGUGAAUCCAAACCUAUCGCCAUCGUUCACAUGGCAAUGGUCGGCAGCCAGCGAAUAGAAUAGUGUCUACGGUGCCGGGUUUGCUUAAAAGAAUAAUUUUAGCUCGCUACGACAUCAGCUCUCUCUCCUCUGGUGUUCUUCCAGUGGACGAGAAGCACCCUUCACCGGUCAUUCCCGGCACAGAAAGUGGACUUCAACGAAAGUGAAAGCCUACGACAUUGUGCUGAUUCGAGGCGGCUGCUGGUGCCGGUCACAUGGA
rnacentral:lncRNA from 1 species